CCUGCCCCAAGGGCAUGUGUGGCUGCCGUGUUAUGUGUUCAUCAGUAGGUGGCAGAGAGUAGAAAGUCUAAGUCUAGACCCAGUGACCUGACCUGUGAGCAUCUGAAUGCUUAGUAUCUAACAUU
rnacentral:snoRNA from 1 species